rnacentral:rRNA from 1 species
AUUGAACGCUGGCGGCAUGCCUUACACAUGCAAGUCGAACGGUAGAGGGGGCAACCCCUUGAGAGUGGCGAACGGGUGAGUAAUGCGUCGGAACGUGCCCAGUCGUGGGGGAUAGCCCGGGGAAACCCGGAUUAAUACCGCAUACGACCUGAGGGUGAAAGCGGGGGACCGAAAGGCCUCGCGUGAUUGGAGCGGCCGAUGGCGGAUUAGGUAGUUGGUGGGGUAAAGGCCUACCAAGCCUGCGAUCCGUAGCUGGUCUGAGAGGACGACCAGCCACACUGGGACUGAGACACGGCCCAGACUCCUACGGGAGGCAGCAGUGGGGAAUUUUGGACAAUGGGGGCAACCCUGAUCCAGCCAUGCCGCGUGCGGGAAGAAGGCCUUCGGGUUGUAAACCGCUUUUGUCAGGGAAGAAAUGUCCUGGGCUAAUAACCUGGGGGGAUGACGGUACCUGAAGAAUAAGCACCGGCUAACUACGUGCCAGCCGCCGCAGUAA